rfam:Salmo salar isolate Sally breed double haploid chromosome ssa15, whole genome shotgun sequence.
CCCUGUAGCUCAGAUGGUAGAGCAUGGUGUUUGCAACGCAUGGUCUUUGCAACGCCAGGGUUGUGGGUUCAAUUCCCACCGGGG